AGCAGCCGCGGUAAUUCCAGCUCCAAUAGCGUAUAUUAAAGUUGUUGCAGUUAAAAAGCUCGUAGUUGAAUUUCGGGAUCAAAUUGUUGGUCGUGCUUCGGUACGCACUGGCAUUAUUGGUUUCUACCUUCUGAAGAACCGCGAUGUCAUUAAUUUGGUGUCGUGGGGAAUCAGGACUGUUACUUUGAAAAAAUUAGAGUGUUUAAAGCAGGCGUACGCUUGAAUACAUUAGCAUGGAAUAAUGAAAUAGGACGUUUGAUUCUAUUUUGUUGGUUUCUAGGAUCGACGUAAUGAUUAAUAGGGAUAGUUGGGGGCAUUAGUAUUCAAUUGUCAGAGGUGAAAUUCUUGGAUUUAUUGAAGACUAACUACUGCGAAAGCAUUUGCCAAGGAUGUUUUCAUUAAUCAAGAACGAAAGUUAGGGGAUCGAAGACGAUCAGAUACCGUCGUAGU
rnacentral:rRNA from 1 species